CUUUGGAUAGCUCAGUUGGUAGACCAUGAGACUCUUAAUCUCAGGGUCUUGGAUUUGAAUCCCACACUGGGCAAAGA